CAGUAGCCGCGGUAAUACGGAGGGUGCAAGCGUUAUCCGGAUUCACUGGGUUUAAAGGGUGCGUAGGCGGAUCUGUAAGUCAGUGGUGAAAUCUCCAGGCUUAACCUGGAAACUGCCGUUGAUACUAUAGGUCUUGAAUUUUGUGGAGGUUAGCGGAAUAUGUCAUGUAGCGGUGAAAUGCAUAGAUAUGACAUAGAACACUAAUUGCGAAGGCAGCUGGCUACACAACUAUUGACGCUGAGGCACGAAAGCGUGGGGAUCAAACAGGAUUAGAUACCCCCGUAGUCCCUGUCUCUUAUAC
rnacentral:rRNA from 1 species